GACCGCGUAGCUCAGUUGGCAGAGCAUUGGGCUGCCUAGUAUUCCAAAGGUCGUAGGUUCGAAUCCCACCGUGGCCG
rnacentral:tRNA from 1 species